UCCAUUGCACGCGGGGAACUGUAGUCCAUUUAGCGAACUGUCUCUUAGAGGGGCGGGGCAGAAGCGGGUCGUUUUCGUCAGCUGAGAAGAAUGAUUCACAGAGGAGAGUCAGGAGAGAACAGUUCUGUCUGUGAAAGCCCACUUAAAAGGCUGGACUCUAAUCCGAGGGAAGGAGAGGCAGGAGAGCAAGCAGGACCUUGGGUCUGACCCCGCCUCAGGCCGCUCGGCAAGCCUCUAUCAAGUCCUGGGCCUUGCCGGGGGCGGCCGCGAGGCACCGGUUGCUGGGGGACCGGUGACGUCGCGGGGUGAAAGUUGAGGGGCGGUGACGUCGGGCCUGCCCGGGCGGAGGCUGGCGGGUUAGAGGCAGGAGGGAGGGAGGGAAGGAGGGAAGGAAGGAAGCUGAGAAGGAGCGAGCGAGCGGGGGCGCGAGGCGUUUACCUGGAGGCAGCGGCUUGGGCGCGCAGAGCGGCCGCGGCUCCCCCGCACCUGCGGCCAUGGAUGAGGAGCGCGCCCUCUACAUCGUCCGGGCCGGCGAGGCGGGGGCUAUCGAACGGGUCCUGAGGGAUUACAGCGAUAAGCAUAGGGCUACUUUCAAAUUUGAACCAACAGAUGAAGAUAAAAGAAAGAAACUCUGUGAAGGCAUAUUUAAAGUUCUUAUAAAGGACAUCCCAACAACAUGUCAAGUGUCCUGCCUGGAAGUUCUCCGUAUUCUCUCCAGAGACAAAAAGAUUUUAGUUCCUGUAACAACCAAGGAAAAUAUGCAGAUACUGCUGCGACUAGCCAAACUAAAUGAGUCGGAUGAUUCUUUGGAGAAGGUGUCAGAGUUCCCAGUUAUUGUGGAGUCGUUAAAAUGUCUAUGUAACAUAGUUUUCAACAGUCAAAUGGCACAGCAGCUCAGCCUGGAACUUAACCUUGCUGCAAAGCUCUGUAAUCUCCUAAGAAAGUGCAAGGACCGAAAGUUUAUCAAUGACAUUAAGUGCUUUGACUUGCGCUUGCUCUUCCUCCUGUCACUUUUGCACACCGACAUCAGGUCACAAUUGCGCUAUGAGCUCCAGGGACUACCGCUGCUAACCCAGAUCUUGGAAAGUGCCUUUAGCAUCAAGUGGACCGAUGAGUAUGAAUCGGCCAUAGACCAUAAUGGACCUCCUCUCUCACCUCAGGAGACAGACUGUGCCAUUGAGGCCCUCAAAGCUCUCUUCAAUGUGACGGUAGACAGUUGGAAGGUGCAUAAAGAGAGUGAUUCUCAUCAGUUUCGUGUCAUGGCAGCUGUCCUUCGCCAUUGUUUACUAAUCGUAGGUCCAACUGAAGACAAAACAGAAGAGCUGCACAGCAAUGCAGUCAACCUUUUAAGCAAUGUUCCGGUCUCUUGUUUGGAUGUUCUCAUUUGUCCAUUAACCCAUGAAGAAACAGCCCAAGAGGCAACGACUCUAGAUGAAGUGCCCAGUGAUAAAACAGCUGAGAAAGAAACAGUUUUGAAAAAUAAUACCAUGGUAUAUAAUGGUAUGAAUAUGGAAGCCAUUCAUGUUUUACUCAAUUUUAUGGAGAAGAGAAUAGACAAGGGAAGCAGCUAUAGAGAGGGUCUAACUCCAGUUCUCAGCUUAUUAACAGAAUGUUCCCGAGCCCAUCGAAACAUCAGAAAAUUUCUCAAAGAUCAGGUUUUACCACCAUUGAGGGAUGUGACAAAUCGACCUGAAGUUGGCUCAACUGUGAGAAAUAAGCUGGUGCGCCUAAUGACACAUGUUGACCUUGGAGUCAAGCAAAUUGCUGCUGAAUUCCUUUUUGUGCUUUGCAAAGAGAGAGUGGAUAGCCUGCUGAAAUACACUGGCUAUGGGAAUGCUGCGGGACUGUUGGCGGCCAGGGGCCUCUUGGCUGGAGGAAGAGGCGAUAAUUGGUACUCAGAGGACGAGGACACAGACACUGAAGAAUACAAAAAUGCAAAACCAAACAUUAAUCUUAUCACUGGUCAUUUAGAGGAACCAAUGCCAAACCCUAUAGAUGAAAUGACAGAAGAACAAAAAGAAUAUGAAGCCAUGAAACUUGUCAACAUGCUUGAUAAACUUUCCAGGUAAACAAGAUGCCAUAAAGCUGAAGUAGACUAAAUGCAGUGCAAUUCAGGGAACAUUUAUUAAGCAGCUGCUCUGUGCAAGGCACUGUGCUAGAAAAAUGAGGGCGAUUCAGAGGUGAAUGUGACCGUCUCUGCCUUUGGAAAACUCACAUUUUAGUGAGGGAAAUGGCCGAAAUCUGUUCUAGAACACACGGUAGAAGAAAACAAUGACAAAAUAAGGUCUGUUUUGAACUGUAGGCACCCAGGAAAAGGAGCAGUUCAUUCUGUCUGGAUGCAUCAGGGACUGUUUCACAGAGAAGGAAGCAUUUGUGUUGAUCUUUGAAGUAUAAGAGGUAUUUAAUAGACAAAUGGAGAAAUGACUUCAUUCAGUUAGAGGGAAACUUACUGUUGUUAGUAAGAUAAAUAUUUGAUAUUCACAUACUACAUCUUUCUUCCGAAAAGCUCAGGUCGUUUUCUCAUUAUUUGAUUCCCAGAUUUAUCAUUGGGGGAAGCAAGGCCCAAAGAAUUGCCCCAAACAUUUCCAAACUAAUGUCUGGUGAUAAUCUAUUUCCUUUAACAGUUUACAGAACACUUCACAUACAUUCUCUUUCUAGCUUCAUAAUUAAGUGAGACUAGGAACUUCAUUUUCCAGCACUCAAGACUUUUGCUCUGUCCACUGUGCUACUGUGUCUGUCUGUCAGAGUCAGUGUUUGCCGGAACAUUUCCUAAUCAUCCUCUUCAGCAGUAUGCUGCUGGUCAGUUCCCUCAGCUGUCACUCUAAGGAUGUUCUGCAUCCUGCCAGGUCUUUAUUGUGCUAAGAGUGUACUGUAGCUUUGUCUGAUUAACUUUCCUUCUCAAAAAUGAAAUCACUUUCUCCUGGGCCCAAAGUGAAAGGCAUGUGAGUAAAGAAUAGGGUUGGAGGUGACGUGGCCAAUGAAUGGACACUAGACACUUCCUUUUUUCCAUCCAUAGGAGAGCAGAUGUGAAGGACCUGCACCAGGAUGGUGGUUAGUCAACAGUGGCCCGUGCCAAAGCACUUACCAAAGUGAUGACUAAGGUUGGUCAUGCCAAGUACUGUUACUGAGCCUGGUGUAGGAUAUAGAUGAUAUUCACUACCAAAACUGUAAAACCACCAAUGCAAAAAUUACAUUUCCAUUUUUGCCUCUGUGCUGGACAUAGCCGCUGCCUCAGGGAGUUCACCGUCUUAGCAGCUUUUUCCCAGCUAGAUUUCCAAGGACACUGGAGAGAUUAGUGCUCCAACAUUUUCUUCCCAUUGAGUACCAGCUGACUUAGUAGUACUCCAGGUGGUUUAUUUAUUCUUAAGUCUAAGGAUUGUACUUGUGACAGACGUAGAUAAGACGCAGUGGAAGUGGAGGCCUUUAAGAGUUUGAGGAUGAUCUGAGUGCUGUAAACCCCAUCAUGUCUGGCUAGUACAGUGCCUUGUACCCUGUGGUUUCCCCAGCGUGUGAUGAAAUAAUGAACGCAGCUGAUCCGCAAAUCUGAAGACCCUGUCAUUAAUUCCAUGUGUCAAUACUGCCCUGUAGUACACAGAGCAGACAAGAAAGAAGAGCCCUUGAAAACAAGGGAAUGAUUUUUGAGUCGUUAUCAAGCUAAGUGGCAAGCGGGAAGCUGAAACUCGUAUAGUUGAACAUUCUUGGAGGCUUAUCUCUUCCCUGGCCAGAUGCCUGAUCAGAUGAGAAGCCCGCCAUGAUACUGUCACAGUGCCUAGAAUGGGCUCUUUAUCCAGUAGACAUCACUGUACUUUUUGAUGAUAACGAGGGCAGUCUUAACUUGUGUUAAGGCCUGUGUAUAGCAUUGAAGGGAGGAGUUGCUUAAACCAAUGGGACUAAAACCUGAUGGGACAAUAACGCCUUUGGAGGAAGCACUCAACCAGUACUCUGUCAUCGAAGAGACCAGCUCCGACACAGACUGAAAGCAUCACCUGCUCAACUCUCAAUAUUGCUUUUAUCAGCAUCUUUUCUCUGUAGCUCCAGGGGAAUCUUUUCUCUAAAACAUUUAUGCCCUUGCUUUGGCUAGAAACACAUUAACUGGUUUACUCAUUGAGAAUCCAGCAUAUUUAAGAGGUGAUCCUGUGUUUUUGCAAUAUCGAGGCAUUCAUACAGAGCUGCAGUUAGACGGAGUCGCAGGGGCUAGAAGCAGAAAAACAAUUUCCAUUUCAUCAGGAUGGAACUGAAGGACUUCAUUCUAUAAAGCAGCCUCGGUUGAAUCUGGCAGAUCUGUUUGCCAAGAUUCUUAGCAGAAGAUUUAGCCGCGUCCUCCUCUCACUUGUGUGAGCUGCCCCCUCGGAAUCUCUCCAGUGGACCGAGGCACGUGACAAACAGAAUGAGCUGCUUAAAUAAGGGCUGAGGCAAGUGACUCGUUAGAUCAGGACUGACUGACUGGAAGCCAAGCAGCUGCUCCAUGCACCUAGCCCCGCUCUUCAUUUCAGUUUUGUAAAGACAUAGAAACGCACACAGACACACACACACAGCCCCAGACUUGCAAACUGACUACACUCUAAAAGUUUGUAUGUCACCUACCUACAACUUCAGAAUACAUUUCUCCCUAUAGAGAGUUAUAAGUGACGGUUUAGUUCUGAGGCAGCUACAAAUGCCUAUUUAUUCCCUCACGUACCUGAACACUAGUACCAUAGAACUGAACCCCAUCUGUAUCACUGCAUGGGGAGCAUGCAUUCUGAGGUCCAGCUCGGGGUGUCAGGAACACGUCCUCCAAUCCAGCAGAGGGAACGGGGACCCCCGAGUUCUUUUGUGGCCUCUGCUGGUGGGGGGGAGUCAGUGGCACCCUUCUGUACAUAUAGGUCAUUCAUAUGUCACGUUUUAAAUUGGGGACUGUGUGUGUGCCGAUGUGUGUGUGUUCUACCUUUCUACCAUGUGAUCAGUUUAAUGGUAACCUUAUUUAUUUAAAAAAAAAAAAGAAACACAAAUAGUUACUAUUAAACUGAUUAAGGCUGUUUAUUUUUAC